GGUGAGAGUAUCUCCACCUUCCUGGCAUCCCCCAGCACGCAGGAUGAUACAGAAGGUGAGCGAGGGCUGGAGAAACUUCCAGCAAGCACCCACGGGCAAUGGCUGCUCGCUCUUCAAACCUGACAGUGGGUGAGAAGCUUGGGAGUUUGCUGGGAAUUUCUGAUUUACUGGGGCAUAACGGCUUGAACUCAGGGCCUUUUAAGUUUUGCAUUACGCAGGCUGGAUAUUUAAUAUUUAAUGUACAGAAAAAGGCAAAGGCGGGUAGCUGACACCUCUCUUGAAACAGAAAUCUCUAUUAUGGUAAUCUCGAAGCAGGUCUGUUAUUGUUAUCGCUUCACUUGCUGCAGUGGCCUAACAUAAAUGCAAGGAGCAGGGAGGGCAGCCUCAUUUGCCAGGUGCCAGAGGAAGGGGAGGGUCAGAAGCUUGCAGUCUGAAAGGAGGAGGAGGAGGAUGAAGGAUGUGGGGGCAGGAGUGGCCCUGGUGCAGAAGUGCUCUGAGCACAGUGCAGCUGAGUCCUGCUGAACAUCCGUCCAGGCCUGGUGAGAAUACAGGUGGUGACUUCCAGCCGGAUCCUCUGCCCUCCUCGCAGAAGGAAGCUAAUGGGUUUUGUGGGAAAGCUGCACUGCGAUUGCUAUUUGCAGAAAAUAAAGCAUUCACCAAAACUCUUAAUUCUGCGUUAUCGUGAGGAGAUUGGACAGCAAAAUGCUUUUCACAGCACUCCAUUGCUAGGAGUUCAGAGAUGACAGUAAAUCUCCAUUUCUAAGUCAUUGCACCUUUUAGCUGAAAAACAACUUGAACAGCGAACAAAGCACCGAAAGAAACAGCACAAGAAUUGCCUUUAAGAAAGGGCCUGAGGCUGCAAACCGCAAGGAGGAGGAGAAAGGUCCCUGCACCCUCGGUGAGGGCCAUGCGAG